GAUGAACGCUAGCGGGAGGCCUAACACAUGCAAGCCGAGCGGUAUUGUUUCUUCGGAAAUGAGAGAGCGGCGUACGGUGCGGAACACGUGUGCAACCUACCUUUAUCUGGAGGAUAGCCUUUCGAAAGGAAGAUUAAUACUCCAUAAUAUAUUGAUUGGCAUCAGUUGAUAUUGAAAGCUCCGGCGGAUAAAGAUGGGCACGCGCAAGAUUAGCUAGUUGGUGAGGUAACGGCUCACCAAGGCGAUGAUCUUUAGGGGGCCUGAGAGGGUGAUCCCCCACACUGGUACUGAGACACGGACCAGACUCCUACGGGAGGCAGCAGUGAGGAAUAUUGGUCAAUGGGUGCAAGCCUGAACCAGCCAUCCCGCGUGAAGGACGACUGCCCUAUGGGUUGUAAACUUCUUUUGUAUAGGGAUAAACCUACUCUCGUGAGAGUAGCUGAAGGUACUAUACGAAUAAGCACCGGCUAACUCCGUGCCAGCAGCCGCGGUAAU
rnacentral:rRNA from 1 species